CAGUCGCCACGGUAAUACGUAGGGUGCGAGCGUUAAUCGGAAUUACUGGGCGUAAAGCGUGCGCAGGCGGUUCGUUAAGACAGAUGUGAAAUCCCCGGGCUUAACCUGGGAACUGCAUUUGUGACUGGCGAGCUAGAGUAUGGCAGAGGGGGGUAGAAUUCCACGUGUAGCAGUGGAAUGCGUAGAGAUGUGGAGGAAUACCGAUGGCGAAGGCAGCCCCCUGGGCCAAUACUGACGCUCAUGCACGAAAGCGUGGGGAGCAAACAGGAUUAGAUACCCCCGUAGUCCCUGUCUCUUAUAC
rnacentral:rRNA from 1 species